rnacentral:rRNA from 1 species
GAUGAACGCUGGCGGCGUGCCUAAUACAUGCAAGUCGAGCGAACGGACGAGAAGCUUGCUUCUCUGAUGUUAGCGGCGGACGGGUGAGUAACACGUGGAUAACCUACCUAUAAGACUGGGAUAACUUCGGGAAACCGUAGCUAAUACCGGAUAAUAUUUUGAACCGCAUGGUUCAAAAGUGAAAGACGGUCUUUCUGUCACUUAUAGAUGGAUCCGCGCUGCAUUAGCUAGUUGGUAAGGUAACGGCUUACCAAGGCAACGAUGCAUAGCCGACCUGAGAGGGUGAUCGGCCACACUGGAACUGAGACACGGUCCAGACUCCUACGGGAGGCAGCAGUAGGGAAUAUUCCGCAAUGGGCGAAAGCCUGACGGAGCAACGCCGCGUGAGUGAUGAAGGUCUUCGGAUCGUAAAACUCUGUUAUUAGGGAAGAACAUAUGUGUAAGUAACUGUGCACAUCUUGACGGUACCUAAUCAGAAAGCCACGGCUAACUACGUG